rnacentral:lncRNA from 1 species
UUGUUCUUGUCUUCUAGCAGAAGAAUUUCGUUGUCAUUGUGAGUUUGUUCUCGUUAGAAACGUAAAACUUGACAGGUUUCAUGAAGUGUUGCGUCUUAAACUGUGUAAUGCAACACGAACGGAGUAAAGUUUUCUCUUACUAACUGCGGAUACACUAUUAUUCUGGCGACAUGGCUGAUGGUGACAAUCAUGUUGUCAUCAGUGAACCUGUUAUUACAAUUUUUCAACUUAGUGAUUAUGCAAAAGGGUUGGUUGGGGUUAAAAAGGAGUUUUAUCUAGAAAAAUUAACAAAGUGUAAUAUAGACUGCCCGUAUUACAUUCCAAAGGAACAUUGGGUUUGUGAUCCAUCCAUCAUUGAAAAAAUAUCCCCACGCCAGCUGUCAGAACAUGACGUCUAUAUGUAUUUAAUUGCUAGAAGAAGUCAGGACACAGGACUUCAAUUAAAAGCCAUGAAAACUAUACAAACAGCCAAUUUCAUGGUAAGUAAUGGUUGGGUAAGUAAAUUGUGUGCUAUUAAACUUCGACAUGGGGCUGUCAUUUUUAAAGGAAAUGUACGACAUUCUAUGAGUUUCAACAGCAAGAAAGAUUUGUGUACAUGGGUAGCCAUCCAUGAAAAUGCUAGUGUUAUGGCUGGACACUGUACAUGCACUGUUGGGUUAGGUGGAGUUUGUACACACUUUGGUGGUGUACUUUACAGUAUCAUGAAUCUUAUAACAACCCCUUGAACAUCCAAAGAAAAGUCUAGGAUUUGUUCAACCAAAACCUUACCUGUGAACUUAAGUACCAGUAUUGCAGAUUUAAAGUGUGCAACUACUAACAACAAAAGUCCAUUGACUGUUUUAAAAAGACAAAAAAAAUGAUGAAUAUACCAGAAAUGAAAGAAAAAGAAAUAGAUGAAUUGAAUCAGGUGUUACUGGAAAACCGGGCGGUGCAGCUUCAUGUAGUAAAUGCCUUUGCUGACUACUUUACUCCAAAACCAAUCCCAACUCGGUUGAGUUCAGUAUUUAACCCUUUAUUCAAAAACGGAAAAACGCUAACAGACAUUUUAGAGGAAUGCAACAGAUUGCUAAGGAC